rnacentral:rRNA from 1 species
GGGGGGAGCAAGCGUUGUUCGGAUUUACUGGGCGUAAAGGGCGCGUAGGCGGUCAGCACAAGUCAGUUGUGAAAUCUCCGGGCUUAACUCGGAAAGGUCAACUGAUACUGUGCGACUAGAGUGCAGAAGGGGCAACUGGAAUUCUCGGUGUAGCGGUGAAAUGCGUAGAUAUCGAGAGGAACACCUGCGGCGAAGGCGGGUUGCUGGGCUGACACUGACGCUGAUGCGCGAAAGCCAGGGGAGCGAACGGGAUUAGAUACCCCGGUAGUCCUGGCCUUAAACGAUGGAUGCUUGGUGUCUGGAGUUUUAUAGUCUCCGGGUGCCGUAGCUAACGCGUUAAGCAUCCCGCCUGGGGAGUACGGUCGCAAGACUG